CCUACGGGAGGCAGCAGUGAGGAAUCUUCCACAAUGGGCGAAAGCCUGAUGGAGCAACGCCGCGUGCAGGAUGAAGGCCUUCGGGUCGUAAACUGCUUUUAUAAGUGAGGAUUAUGACAGUAACUUAUGAAUAAGGAUCGGCUAACUACGUGCCAGCAGCCGCGGUAAU
rnacentral:rRNA from 1 species